rnacentral:tRNA from 1 species
GAUUGGUGAUUCAGUGGUGGAAUUCUCACCUUCCAUGUGGGAGACCUGAGUUCCAUUCCUGGCCAAUGCA